UAACACGUAGGAGACAAGCGUUAUCCGGAUUUACUGGGCGUAAAGCGCAUGUAGGCGGUUUUCUAAGUCAGAUGUUAAAGCUCCCGGCUCAACUGGGAGAGGCCGUUUGAUACUGGAAGACUUGAGGGUGGUAGAGGAGAGUGGAAUUCCCGGUGUAGUGGUGAAAUGCGUAGAUAUCGGGAGGAACACCAGUGGCGAAGGCGGCUCUCUGGGCCACGCCUGACGCUGAGAUGCGAAAGCUAGGGGAGAGAACGGGAUUAGAAACCCCGGUAUUCCUAGCCGUAAACGAUGUCAACUAGGCGUAGGAGGUUAUUGACCCCUUCUGUGCUGAAGCCAACGCAUUAAGUUGACCGCCUGGGGACUACGGCCGCAAGGCUA
rnacentral:rRNA from 1 species